AGUUUUCUGAUCUUUUCACACAUCCUGUCUUACAGCCCUAAGGCAGUUUCAUUUGCCAAUGAAGACAUGAACCAUCUGAUCUUUUCAGACCAAAUUCCCUCUCUUCCAUCCUACAUUGCAGCUCCCUGUUGUACGUCCUGCGCGCGCCUCGUCCUGUGAUUCCAGCAGAUCACAAGGAGCGUCACUGGGGGCUCUGCUGAUUGACACCACUCAAGCUCACGGCUCGGUCACCAGCCUUACCCUAAGAGUGGUACAGCACAGGGCUGAACCUAUGCAUGAGAAGUACAGGAGCAAGCACUCUGCCAGCUUUAGAUGACUUGAGCUGGCUAAUGAACAUCCAAGGUCUUCUAGUGAGCAGCACAACGCUACCUGUGGCACUUGGCUAUUUUGACUUCAACUUUGCUUUAGGGUGUUUACACCACCAUAUGCCAUUCUGGAAGAAGUACGUGGUAUAAACGCUGUUUGG
rnacentral:lncRNA from 1 species